AACGAACGCUGGCGGCGUGCUUAACACAUGCAAGUCGAGCGGUAAGGCCCUUUCGGGGGUACACGAGCGGCGAACGGGUGAGUAACACGUGGGUGACCUGCCCUCAGCUCUGGGAUAAGCCUGGGAAACCGGGUCUAAUACCGGAUAUGACUCCAUGACGCAUGUUGUGGGGUGGAAAGCCUUGUGCGGCUGAGGAUGGGCCCGCGGCCUAUCAGCUUGUUGGUGGGGNGAUGGCCUACCAAGGCGACGACGGGUAGCCGGCCUGAGAGGGCGACCGGCCACACUGGGACUGAGACACGGCCCAGACUCCUACGGGAGGCAGCAGUGGGGAAUCUUGCGCAAUGGGCGAAAGCCUGACGCAGCGACGCCGCGU
rnacentral:rRNA from 1 species